CACACACACAAAGCCUUUAGGCUAUAUAUACACCAGUGUUCAUAUUAUUAUUUUUUUGGUUCAUAUUAAUAUAAAAUGCAACAACAAAGAUUCUGAGCCGACUUGCUGACUAGAUCUAUCAUAAAUACAAACCAUAGAUUAUCGCGCUAAAGUGCUGUAAUAGCCUAGUAGCGGUUUAGCAUCGGUCCAUCAUGUUGAACCGUCCUUAUACUAGUUUAUGUGCGUUCUACUCCGUGUUCUUUAUCCACGCGCAGCCUUAUCUCCCAUGAGUUGUUUUCCCGGUGUUUGGAGUGGGAGGGGAAUUCAUUCCAGGUCCCCCCCUCCUCGCGCGCCUUCCCAUCACUUCCUGUUCCUCAAACGCUACGUCUCUCGUCUGGGCAGAAGGCGGCAGCAGCAGCAGCAGCCUACGCGUAUCCCACAGGUGUGUGUUCCUGACCAAAGCGAGAGCUCCCGAAGAGAUACACACCUGGAAGGAACCAUCAUGUGACCGGCACCUGGGCGUGGAGAAAGUCCUUUGUAUUUCCCUGACUCCUUUUGCGAGUUGCCCGUGUCGUCUUUGAGCAAGGAACUCCCUGUCGGUCGAGCAGUAAUCCUGUUUUCUACGGAAUAGUGCCUUUUUUUUGCAGCCGCCUGUAGACCCGCGAGCAGAAAGAACAUGAGCCUCGGGUUCAUGUGACCGAAGGGACUCCAGGUCUGGACUUGAGAUUUUUGGAACUACUGUUGGUUUCUUCCUCCAAGAUGGCGCGCAGCGUAAAGAGCCCACUCCUUGACGUGAUUGGCCUCCCGUCUCCCACCUCUCUCUCCACUCUCUCUCCUCCUGUCCUCCCCCCCCCCCCCGGUGGCUCGGUGGGUCUACGGGCCCGCGUUCAGGGCCACAGCGCGCCACACCAGGCAGAGGAACCAGGACUGAGAUCCAGAGGAAGGAAGGAAGGAAGGCGGGCGGGCGUAGAGCGUAGGGCUGUGCAAUUAAUCCAAUUUUGAUUGAGAUUUCGAUUUUUGGGUCUAACGAUCGCCAAACUAAUAACAUCGAGUUGAAACGAUUUAAUUUUUUAAUGAAAAAAUAGUUACAGCUGGAUACAGCUGGAUACAUAUUUGUACAUUAUUUUCGAUUUGAAAUUUUUCUAAUUGAACAUUUUCUAUUUCAUAAUUUUUUCAUCUGUAAAAAGUUCUCAUUUACAAAGUGUUUUUUCGGAGCGAAAUACUGGAUAAAUGCACCAUGUUUUUCCAAAAGAAAAAUAAUCAGGAAGGUUGGCCCACGAGGCGCUCAGCACGCGCGCGGGCGUAGCACUAGUGUUCGCUGGCGACCACACGUGUCCUUGAGAUCACAGAGGUACGCGCGACCCACCGCCUCAACUCGCCAAGGCGCCAGUCACGGCCGCCGCUGCCGUAGAGCAGGCACGCACGUCGCUAGCUGCACCACAGACACGUCCGCCAACAUGAUGCAAUCGUGGCAUUGUUUUCGUUGCCUCUUUUGUCUCACACUUGUCCGUUCUCUCGAGGUCAGUGAGUCAGAACAAGCUAGCGCUUCAGGGCUAACUCGGCGGCGGCGUCAAGCCAAGCGAAACCAGAAGCUCGCGUACCGCCGGACGGACGGGAUUGAUGGACGAUCAAUUCCAGCAGAAGAUAAUCACGGCAUGCCGGGCCCUCCAACCGAUCCAGGCUCUUAUCUGCGUCGGCCCACCGCGCGCUACCAAACAAGCCACAGGGACACACAUUCCUCUCUCUACUGGUGCCCAGACCCGAGGGGGGAAAUGUGUUGGCGCGU
ensembl:lncRNA